rnacentral:rRNA from 1 species
GACAGAGGAGCCAAGCGUUGUCCGGAUUGACUGGGCGUAAAGCGUCCGCAGGCGGCUGUGCACGUGGGGUGUGAAAGCUGGCGGCUUAACUGCCAGACGCCACCUCAUACGGCACGGCUCGAGCCCGUGAGAGGUCCACGGAAUUGCCGGUGUAGUGGUGAAAUGCGUAGAGAUCGGCAGGAACACCCAGGGGGAAACCAGCCGACUGGGCAUAGGCUGACGCUGAGGUGCGAGAGCGUGGGGAGCGAACCGG